AAGGGAAGCUUUAAUACACCCUCAGCAUUCUCUCAGAGAACCACACCUGCAGAGAAGGGCUGCUGGACGCUGGGAGAGGGGCGCUAACAUGGAGGGCUGACUGCUUCACUCAGCAUAUUUACAGGCUCUCUUAGGCAGAUGAUUCAAUGGCUUUGGGCCUCAAUUUCCCUAUACCCAAAGAGAAAGAAGACUUUUAUCUGGGUUCCACCUCCUAGAGAUGCUGAUCUGAUGCUCAAUACAUGGGUCUAUGUGCCUUAAUUUGGGGAGGGAGGGGGAUGGUUUCCAUCGGUGCUGGGAGGGGAGUGGUGGGGGAGGGGAGUGACACUAAUUCAGAAGUUCCUCGGGAUCCCACCAGCUUAGAAUGGUUUUGUGCCUUGGGAACAAGUGUUGUAAAUGUGAGUGAGAACGAAGAGCCCAGGGCAAGUAUCCACAAGACAAGUAACCCUAUAAAAUAAGAAUAUGAAGACAAGGAGGUUAGGGAACAGAAUGUAACAAGCGCAAUAAAAGACAUGGAAUCAUUUUUUUCUUUAGCUACCAGAGCAAUAGUCCUAUCAAACCCGAUACACUUCUAAAUCCCACCACUUGUCAUCACCAUCAUCAUCAACCCAUAAGGGUGUUGUGUUUUCACAUGUGUCAUUGCCUACAUUUAUUCAUGAUUCCAGCGGCACAUGAAAACAAGGUACUCCUAUGUGGACUGAAAAGUAGCCUACUCCAGCUCUGGGUGCUGCUCCUUUCCCUUUUAUCUCCUGACCUCCUUAGAGGUCACUUCGUAGCUCCCUCAAAAGCUCUCCCAACAAGGUUAAAAUUGCUGAAACUCAAAAUGUGUGAUCUGACCAGCUGCCCUGAAGACAAGAGUUCCUAAGUGAAGAUGCUGAAACAACUGGCUAGAGGUCGGAUUUGGAAUCCUCUCUGAAGUUCAGAUAUGACUCUAUUUUAUGAUGUAUUCCAUGUUCCAGUGGAAGAAAACAAAAUCUGGACACAAGCUGUCUGCCAUGGCUCCCUGCUUCCACCCUGAGCCUUGCCCCUGCCCCCCACCCCACCUGCUCCCGCUGCAGCAGAGAUGGGGGAGUGCUGGCUCAGUAAAUACUUACGUGAUGACAUCCGUGUCCUCUCCACAGUCAGAGCACCAGGUGAAGGUCAUAGUGUUUUCUGACACUAAGUGUAUGUAUUUUACAACUUGCCUAACUGCUGCUAUCCAUUUUAUUAAUUGAAUUAUUCAGAAAAACUAAAGGAAUAAGAAAGCCACGGGUUUUUUUUUAUGCCCUAAAGCUGUUUAUUAUAGAGACAGAGGAAUUUCUUGAUGUUUUCCACAAGCAGCUAGACACAUUUCAAAAGCAAGGAGAUUUCUUGUACAUGUAUGGACGUAUUUAGUUAUUUAUGCCACAAAUACCACAUGUCCAAAUCACACAUCUGAAGAGCUGAAAGGGGCCCAUGGGCUGUGCUGCUCUGGGGCCUAUCUGCUGCCCACUCACUGUGCACCUGUCCCCUGUCCUGCUCUGUGCACAGAGCUGACCUGCAGAAGCCUGCGUCACCCAGGCUCCCUGGACCCCCAGCUUCCUGCUGCAUUUGACCAAAGACAAGCAGGAGAUGGGAGGGUGGGAAGACAGGGGAAGCCAGCCUCAGAUGGCAUUUCCAGCAGACUCUGCUGCUCCUAUAGCUCCAUGUCCCAUAGGACAGCCCACCCGGAACAAGUGGCCCCGAUGCCUUACUUUGCCUCGGAAGCAGAGGGAAUGGUGGCUUCCUGCCAAUGCUCACCUCCAGGGGACCUCACUGCCCCUAGUGUGGCUCAGUCACCUGUGCAACCCUGCAUUUAAUGCUUAUAAAUGGAUUUUGUCUUCCUGGUUAGGCCCUGACUGAUAUAGAGGUGAUUUAUUUUACGGGUGUUGGAACUGAGGUCCAAAGAAGACAUGACUGUCUUAAGUUACCAGCUUAAAAAAAUUACAAGCAAUGUCUCCCACAUGUAAGGCACUGUGUUAGCUGCCUUAGAGAAGAUAAAGAUGUUAAAUUCCAAGAUCCUCUGAGGGCCCCAUCCAAUAAGGAAAAUGAGAUGUCUGUACAAGCAACUCCAAUACACGACAGUAAGUGCGAAGUGCCAUUAAAAAUCAGACCAGGAGUUCCCGUCGUAUCUCAGUGGUUAACGAACCCAACCAGUAACUAUGAGGUUGUAGCUUUGAUCCCUGGCCUCUCUCAGUGGGUUAAGGAUCCGGCAUUGCCAUGAGCUGUGGCGUAGGUCACAGAUGUGGCUCGGAUCCCCUGUGGCUGUGGCUGUGGCCGGUGGCUACAGUUUCAACUGGACCCCUAGCAUGGGAACUUCCAUAUGCUGCAGGUGCGGCCCUAAAAAAACAAACAAACAAACAAAAAUCAGACCAACUAUAGACAUUUGCAGGUGGGAGCGGAGUGGGUACAUGAUCACGAGGGAAGGUUUCCUGGGAACUUCAAAGCUGAAGCAGGUCUAGGAAAUACAUGGUAGGGUUUAGGCAGGAAAGAUGGUACAUGCCUGCAGUUGGGGAGGGGGCUGUCAUUUCAGGCAGAAGUAGCCAAAGGUCAGAGGAGGCAAGAGAGCUCCAGGCCCUCGUGGAAAACAACAAACCAUGUUGUAUGUGGACCCUGAGGCGAGCAUGAGCAGAAAGGUGAGACAAAGGCAUGACUUACUGUUGAAUCAGGGCGCUAUAGUGAGUGAGGAGGGACAUGAUGAAUAUUUAUAUUAAACCACAGGCAGAAAGUGGGGCUGAACCAGGCAAAUCAGGAGGAAGAGUCACCCAUCAGGAGAUGGGCAGGGCCCAGAUCUUGAAAGAUUUUCCAUCCCAGACUUUGGUGUUUGGAUUUCAGGCUCCAAUUCACUGGGAAGCAGAUCAGCGAGGUCAUUUGGGGAGGAGCAGACAGACCAUCCUAUAAGAUGUUCAUCGCUUUUGCACAGGGUACCAGCCUGAGGAUGGAGUGCUCCCAAGCUCCUAGGCCUCUGGCUAAGCAGGAACACCCCAUUCUCCCAUAUGUCCUGUGGAAUGUACAACUAUAUACCACAUGGGACUUUUAAAAGACAGACA